rnacentral:rRNA from 1 species
GCUUAUGGCCAUACCACCCUGAGCACGCCCGAUCUCGUCUGAUCUGGGAAGCUAAGCAGGGUUGGGCCUAGUUAGUACUUGAAUGGGAGACCGCCUGGGAAUACCAGGUGCUGUAAGCU